rnacentral:tRNA from 1 species
GGAUUGUGGCUCAGUGGCAGAGCGCUUGCCUAGCAUGUGUGAGGCACUGGGUUCGAACCUCAACACCA